rnacentral:rRNA from 1 species
GAUGAACGCUGGCGGCGUGCCUAAUACAUGCCAGUCGAGCGAACGGACGAGAAGCUUGCUUCUCUGAUGUUAGCGGCGGACGGGUGAGUAACACGUGGAUAACCUACCUAUAAGACUGGGAUAACUUCGGGAAACCGGCGCUAAUACCGGAUAAUCUUUUGAACCGCAUGGUUCAAAAGUGAAAGACGGUCUUGCUGUCACUUAUAGAUGGAUCCCGGCUGCAUUAGCUGGUUGGUAAGGUAACGGCUUACCAAGGCAACGAUGCAUAGCCGACCUGAGAGGGUGAUAGGCCACCCUGGAACGUGGACACGGUCCAGACUCCUACGGGAGGCAGCAGUAGGGAAUCUUCCGCAAUGGGCGAAAGCCUGACGGAGCAACGCCGCGUGAGUGAUGAAGGUCUUCGGAUCGUAAAACUCUGUUAUUAGGGAAGAACAUAUGUGUAAGUAACUGUGCACAUCUUGACGGUACCUAAUCAGAAAGCCACGGCUAACUACGUG